CCUACGGGCGGCAGCAGUGGGGAAUAUUGGACAAUGGGCGAAAGCCUGAUCCAGCCAUGCCGCGUGUGUGAAGAAGGCCUUCGGGUUGUAAAGCACUUUCAGUGGGGAAGAAAGCCUUGGGGCUAAUACCCUCGAGGAAGGACAUCACCCACAGAAGAAGCACCGGCUAACUCCGUGCCAGCAGCCGCGGUAAUACGGAGGGUGCGAGCGUUAAUCGGAAUUACUGGGCGUAAAGCGCGCGUAGGCGGUUUGAUAAGCCGGUUGUGAAAGCCCCGGGCUCAACCUGGGAACGGCAUCCGGAACUGUCAGGCUAGAGUGCAGGAGAGGAAGGUAGAAUUCCCGGUGUAGCGGUGAAAUGCGUAGAGAUCGGGAGGAAUACCAGUGGCGAAGGCGGCCUUCUGGACUGUCACUGACGCUGAGGUGCGAAAGCGUGGGUAGCAAACAGGAUUAGAUACCCUAGUAGUC
rnacentral:rRNA from 1 species